rnacentral:rRNA from 1 species
UACGUGGGGUGCAGGCGUUAAUCGGAAUUACUGGGCGUAAAGCGUGCGCAGGCGGUCUGCUAAGUGAGGUGUGAAAUCCCCGGGCUUAACCUGGGAACUGCGCUUCUAACUGGCAGGCUUGAGUGUGGCAGAGGGGAGUGGAAUUCCGAGUGUAGAGGUGAAAUUCGUAGAUAUUCGGAGGAACACCAGUGGCGAAGGCGGCUCACUGGUCCAUUACUGACGCUGAGGUGCGAAAGCGUGGGGAGCAAACAGG